GAUUCGAACCUGCAGCAGGUUCGGGUCGAACGCAGUGAGACAACGGAGCCGCUUGCGGCGACGGCCCGAAGGGCGAGGCGAAGCCGAGUCAUC
rnacentral:sRNA from 1 species